rnacentral:rRNA from 1 species
GAGUUUGAUCCUGGCUCAGAUUGAACGCUGGCGGCAGGCUUAACACAUGCAAGUCGAACGGUAACAUGAGUGCUUGCACUUGAUGACGAGUGGCGGACGGGUGAGUAAUGUAUGGGGAUCUGCCGAAUGGAGGGGGACAACAGUUGGAAACGACUGCUAAUACCGCAUAAUGUUGAGAAACCAAAGCAUGGGACUUUCGGGCCAUGCGCCAUUUGAUGAACCCAUAUGGGAUUAGCUAGUUGGUAGGGUAAAGGCUUACCAAGGCGACGAUCUCUAGCUGGUCUGAGAGGAUGACCAGCCACACUGGAACUGAGACACGGUCCAGACUCCUACGGGAGGCAGCAGUGGGGAAUAUUGCACAAUGGGGGAAACCCUGAUGCAGCCAUGCCGCGUGUAUGAAGAAGGCCUUCGGGUUGUAAAGUACCUUCGGUAAUGAGGAAGGUGGUGUAUCUAAUAGGUGCAUCAAUUGACGUUAAUUACAGAAGAAGCACCGGCUAACUCCGUGCCAGCAGCCGCGGUAAUACGGAGGGUGCGAGCGUUAAUCGGAAUGACUGGGCGUAAAGGGCAUGUAGGCGGAUAAUUAAGUUAGGUGUGAAAGCCCUGGGCUCAACCUAGGAAUUGCACUUAAAACUGGUUAACUAGAGUAUUGUAGAGGAAGGUAGAAUUCCACGUGUAGCGGUGAAAUGCGUAGAGAUGUGGAGGAAUACCGGUGGCGAAGGCGGCCUUCUGGACAGAUACUGACGCUGAGAUGCGAAAGCGUGGGGAGCAAACAGGAUUAGAUACCCUGGUAGUCCACGCUGUAAACGAUGUCGAUUUGGAGUUUGUUGCCUUGAGUGAUGGGCUCCGAAGCUAACGCGAUAAAUCGACCGCCUGGGGAGUACGGCCGCAAGGUUAAAACUCAAAUGAAUUGACGGGGGCCCGCACAAGCGGUGGAGCAUGUGGUUUAAUUCGAUGCAACGCGAAGAACCUUACCUGGUCUUGACAUCCACAGAAUCUUGCAGAGAUGCGAGAGUGCCUUCGGGAACUGUGAGACAGGUGCUGCAUGGCUGUCGUCAGCUCGUGUUGUGAAAUGUUGGGUUAAGUCCCGCAACGAGCGCAACCCUUAUCCUUUGUUGCCAGCGAUUCGGUCGGGAACUCAAAGGAGACUGCCGUUGAUAAAGCGGAGGAAGGUGGGGACGACGUCAAGUCAUCAUGGCCCUUACGACCAGGGCUACACACGUGCUACAAUGGCGUAUACAAAGGGAGGCGA